AGGUGCGAUCAUACCAGCACUAAUGCACCAGAUCCCAUCUGAACUUCGCAGUCAAGCAUGCUCGGGCGAGAUUAGUACUAGGAAGGGCGACCUCCUGGGAAGUCCUCGUCUUGCACCUC
rnacentral:rRNA from 2 species